UACGGAGGGUGCGAGCGUUGUCCGGAAUCAUUGGGCGUAAAGGGCGCGUAGGUGGCCCGGUCAGUUCGUGGUGAAAGCGCGGGGCUCAACCCUGCGUCGGCCAUGAAUACUGCCGCGGCUGGAGCACUGUAGAGGCAGGCGGAAUUCCGGGUGUAGCGGUGGAAUGCGUAGAGAUCCGGAAGAACACCGGUGGCGAAGGCGGCCGCUGGGCAGUAGCUGACACUGAGGCGCGACAGCG
rnacentral:rRNA from 1 species